UGGUCAAGUUAUUAAGGGUGCAGGGCGGAUGCCUUGGCACUAGGAGCCGAUGAAGGACGCGAUAAGCUGCGAUAAGCUUCGGGGAGUUGCACGUAAACUUUGAUCCGAAGAUUUCCGAAUGAGGAAACUCACUUAGAGUAAUGUCUAAGUAUCAUUAAGUGAAUACAUAGCUUAAUGAGGGGAACUC
rnacentral:rRNA from 4 species